rnacentral:rRNA from 1 species
AGAGUUUGAUCCUGGCUCAGAACGAACGCUGGCGGCAGGCCUAACACAUGCAAGUCGAACGCUCGUAGCAAUACGAGAGUGGCAGACGGGUGCGGAACACGUGGGAACAUACCCUUUGGUUUGGAAUAACUCAGGGAAACUUGAGCUAAUACCGGAUAAGCCCGUAAGGGGAAAGAUUUAUCGCCGAAGGAUUGGCCCGCGUCCGAUUAGCUAGUUGGUGAGGUAAUGGCUCACCAAGGCGACGAUCGGUAGCUGGUCUGAGAGGAUGAUCAGCCACAUUGGGACUGAGACACGGUCCAAACUCCUACGGGAGGCAGCAGUGGGGAAUAUUGGACAAUGGGCGCAAGCCUGAUCCAGCCAUGCCGCGUGAGUGAUGACGGCCCUAGGGUUGUAAAGCUCUUUCACCCACGACGAUAAUGACGGUAGUGGGAGAAGAAGCCCCGGCUAACUUCGUGCCAGCAGCCGCGGUAAUACGAAGGGGGCUAGCGUUGUUCGGAUUUACUGGGCGUAAAGCGCGCGUAGGCGGAUCUUUAAGUCAGGGGUGAAAUGCCGGAGCUCAACUUCGGAACUGCCUUUGAUACUGGAGAUCUUGAGUCCGGGAGAGGUGAGUGGAACUGCGAGUGUAGAGGUGAAAUUCGUAGAUAUUCGCAAGAACACCAGUGGCGAAGGCGGCUCACUGGCCCGAUACUGACGCUGAGGCGCGAAAGCGUGGGGAGCAAACAGGAUUAGAUACCCUGGUAGUCCACGCCGUAAACGAUGGAUGCUAGCCGUUAGGCAGCUUGCUGCUUAGUGGCGCAGCUAACGCUUUAAGCAUCCCGC